GCAGCAGGAGGAGCUGCAGCUCAUCCACGUAGCUCUGGACGACUUGGCAUGUGACAGCAGCCCUGCCAUCCGUGGCCUAGCAAUUCAAACACUCUACAUUCUCAAGGCAGUACAGAGAACUCGAUAUUCCAUUUUCGAGAAUCUGCAAGGUCAGCUGUCCAGGGCAUGGAGGACACGGCCUCGUCUAUUGAGCCUUGGCUGGCUGCGCUGCUGGAGAUCUGCAGAGAGCUGAUGUGGGAGGCUCUGUCUGCUGGGACCUCCUGAGCCAGCAUUAAUUUUCUUUUCUUCAAGAUUGUUCUUCUUUUAAUUUUUCUUUAGGAUAUAAAUAUAGGAUGUGUUAGAAUACA